CUCCACUCGGCUGCUCGGCCGCGUCACAUCCAGGCUGCCGAUGUACUGUUGUCAGGGAAGUAAAUAUGACAGGCAUUUUCAAAGUAUGCACUACUCCACACUAACAGAAGAACCAAGAAAAAAUUAACGGAAAAACAAACUGGGUUGGUUUAACAGGGAGUAAUCCAAGAAAAAAAAACACAAUUCCAAAUCCGGUUAGUUGGCUACAUGUUCUCCAUCGCAGCAAACCGUCCCAGCAUUGCAGCGCUAGCCUACUACAGCGACCAAGUGGCGGUAACUACUUUAGCAGCGCUCCGGCGCACCGCUGCCUUGCUAAUAUUUACCGGAACAGCUUU